rnacentral:rRNA from 1 species
UAAAGAAAGCGUAGUAGCUCACUGGUCGAGUCGGCCUGCGCGGAAGAUGUAACGGGGCUAAACCAUGCACCGAAGCUGCGGCAGCGACACUGUGUGUUGUUGGGUAGGGGAGCGUUCUGUAAGCCUGUGAAGGUGGCCUGUGAGGGUUGCUGGAGGUAUCAGAAGUGCGAAUGCUGACAUAAGUAACGAUAAAGCGGGUGAAAAGCCCGCUCGCCGGAAGACCAA